UAGUAACGGCGAGUGAAGAGGAAAAGCUCAAAUUUUGAAUCUGGUGUCUUUGGCGCCCGAGUUGUAAUCUAGAGAAGUGUUUUCUGCCUCGGACCACACAUAAAUUCCCUGGAAUGGGGUGUCAUAGAGGGUGAGAAUCCCGUUUGUGGUGUGGACUACCUUGGCUCUGUGAUACACUCUCAACGAGUCGAGUUGUUUGGGAAUGCAGCUCAAAAUGGGUGGUAAAUUCCAUCUAAAGCUAAAUAUUGGCGAGAGACCGAUAGCGAACAAGUACCGUGAGGGAAAGAUGAAAAGCACUUUGGAAAGAGAGUGAAACAGUACGUGAAAUUGUUGAAAGGGAAGCGUUUGAAGUCAGUCACAUCGGUCGGAAUUCAGCCUGGCUUUGCCUGGUGUACUUUCUAGCAGAUGGGUCAGCGUCAAUUUUGACUGAGGGAAAAAGACUUGAGGAAUGUGGCUGUCUUCGGGCAGUGUUAUAGCCUCUUGUUGUAUGUCUCAGUUGGGAUUGAGGACCGCAGCACGCCUUAUGGCCUGGGUUCGCGCCCUCGGAACGUGCUUAGGA
rnacentral:rRNA from 1 species